AUUUAUGAGACCAAAAUUAUACAAAGAUAAACAGACACUAAAAGAAAACUACAUAAUUACAUAUGAUGUAAGUAGGGAUCCAUGAAUCUUCAACAAAAU
rnacentral:miRNA from 1 species